rnacentral:misc_RNA from 1 species
GAUGAAGAACUUAGCAAAAUGCGAUAAGUAAUGUGAAUUGCAGAAUUCAGUGAAUCAUCGAAUCUUUGAACGCACAUUGCGCCCGCCAGUAUUCUGGCGGGCAUGCCUGUUCGAGCGUCAUUUCAACCCUCAAGCACAGCUUGGUGUUGGGACUCGCGUUAAUUCGCGUUCCCCAAAUUGAUUGGCGGUCACGUCGAGCUUCCAUAGCGUAGUAGUAAAACCCUCGUUACUGGUAAUCGUCGCGGCCACGCCGUUAAACCCCAACUUCUGAAUGUUGACCUCGGAUCAGGUAGGAAUACCCGCUGAACUUAAGCAUAUCAAUAAGCGGAGGA